GAGGCGGGCUGGACCUCUCGGGGUUACAGCCUUGCUGAAUUAUUCACCCUUGUCUUUUGCGUACUUCUUGUUUCCUUGGUGGGUUCGCCCACCACUAGGACAAACAUAAACCUUUUGUAAUUGCAAUCAGCGUCAGUAACAAAUUAAUAAUUACAACUUUCAACAACGGAUCUCUUGGUUCUGGCAUCGAUGAAGAACGCAGCGAAAUGCGAUAAGUAGUGUGAAUUGCAGAAUUCAGUGAAUCAUCGAAUCUUUGAACGCACAUUGCGCCCUUUGGUAUUCCAAAGGGCAUGCCUGUUCGAGCGUCAUUUGUACCCUCAAGCUUUGCUUGGUGUUGGGCGUCUUGUCUCUAGCUUUGCUGGAGACUCGCCUUAAAGUAAUUGGCAGCCGGCCUACUGGUUUCGGAGCGCAGCACAAGUCGCACUCUCUAUCAGCAAAGGUCUAGCAUCCAUUAAGCCUUUUUUUCAACUUUUGACCUCGGAUCAGGUAGGGAUACCCGCUGAACUUAAGCAUAUCAAUA
rnacentral:rRNA from 1 species